rnacentral:rRNA from 1 species
UACAUGCWAGUCGAGCGAAUGGAUUAAGAGCUUGMUCUUAUGAAGUUAGCGGCGGACGGGYGAKUAACACGUGGGUAACCUGCCCAUAAGACUGGGAUAACUCCGGGAAACCGGGGCUAAUACCGGAUAACAUUUUGAACCGCAUGGUUCGAAAUUGAAAGGCGGCUUCGGCUGUCACUUAUGGAUGGACCCGCGUCGCAUUAGCUAGUUGGUGAGGUAACGGCUCACCAAGGCAACGAUGCGUAGCCGACCUGAGAGGGUGAUCGGCCACACUGGGACUGAGACACGGCCCAGACUCCUACGGGAGGCAGCAGUAGGGAAUCUUCCGCAAUGGACGAAAGUCUGACGGAGCAACGCCGCGUGAGUGAUGAAGGCUUUCGGGUCGUAAAACUCUGUUGUUAGGGAAGAACAAGUGCUAGUUGAAUAAGCUGGCACCUUGACGGUACCUAACCAGAAAGCCACGGCUAACUACGUGCCAGCAGCCGCGGUAAUACGUAGGUGGCAAGCGUUAUCCGGAAUUAUUGGGCGUAAAGCGCGCGCAGGUGGUUUCUUAAGUCUGAUGUGAAAGCCCACGGCUCAACCGUGGAGGGUCAUUGGAAACUGGGAGACUUGAGUGCAGAAGAGGAAAGUGGAAUUCCAUGUGUAGCGGUGAAAUGCGUAGAGAUAUGGAGGAACACCAGUGGCGAAGGCGACUUUCUGGUCUGWAACUGACACUGAGGCGCGAAAGCGUGGGGAGCAAACARGRAUWGAUACCCUUGGSUAGUCCACGC